rnacentral:pre_miRNA from 1 species
AAUAAGGUCAUUUUUCAGUUUUUAGAUACAAUUUUCUGACUCUUCGUCUUAUUUAAAAUUUUUUUGCGAUUGAUAUUUUUAUUGUUACUAGAUGAUAGAAUAUAAAUAAUACUUUAUGUGUGACUAAUUUUUUUAAGUUUUUAUACAAAUUUUUCAAAUAAGACGAAUAGUCAAAGCAUUGGACAUAAAAAUCGAAAAAUAACUUUAUU